ensembl:lncRNA
CUACAUAAGACACGAGAUGACACAUCACAACACAAGACAGUAACUUAAGUAAUAAAAAGAGGUUAUUAGAGGUUAUUCAUCAUAGUUGUUAUUGAUUAUCGAUUGGUUUGUGUCCUCCAGCUGCAGGUGAAUGAUGGUGGAGAAGGUGACAUACUCCAAAGAGCUGCUGCAGCGAUGAGGUGGGGGGGGGGGGAGCUGAGCUUCGAGGAGCUGCAAGCUGAAAACUACAAUCAGGAGCAGUUGGAAGUGGAGGAGAAACUGAAACCUCUGAGCGAGGAGGAGGAGCUAUUUGUUGGAGUUGCUACCUCUGAUUUUGGACUGCUUCCUGUCUCCUCAUGUGGACCUCUCACCGGUGCUUCCUUCCAGAUAUACGACGAAUUCCAGUCAUAUGCUGCAAGGCCUGCUGGAUAAUAAACAUACACCCUGCUCUCUGCUGCCACCUACUGUGUGCACCAGAAACACUUUUUGUUCUGCACGUGUGUGAAAAGAUGCUUACCGUAGUUUGAAAGGAUUAAGUUCCUGUUUCCUGCUAUCCAUAUGUCAGAGGAAGAGGACUGCUUACAUCUUACAGUUACAGUCAAUUCCUUCUUUUGAAGAGUGCUCCCUCUCAUCUGUUUUGAUUUUUAUUAAAGCUUCAAACAAUAAAUAUUACAUCAAAUUCA